AUCCAGACUCCUACGGGAGGCAGCAGUGGGGAAUAUUGCACAAUGGGGGAAACCCUGAUGCAGCGACGCCGCGUGAGUGAAGAAGUAAUUCGUUAUGUAAAGCUCUAUCAGCAGGGAAGAAAAUGACGGUACCUGAGUAAGAAGCCCCGGCUAACUCCGUGCCAGCAGCCGCGGUAAUACGUAGGUGGCGAGCGUUAUCCGGAAUGAUUGGGCGUAAAGGGUGCGCAGGCGGUCCUGCAAGUCUGGAGUGAAACGCAUGAGCUCAACUCAUGCAUGGCUUUGGAAACUGGAGGACUGGAGAGCAGGAGAGGGCGGUGGAACUCCAUGUGUAGCGGUAAAAUGCGUAGAUAUUAGGAGGAACACCAGUGGCGAAGGCGGCUUACUGGACUGUAACUGACGUUGAGGCUCGAAAGCGUGGGGAGCAAACAGGAUUAGAUACCCCCGUAACA
rnacentral:rRNA from 1 species